GGCAAAAGAUAAUUCAUUCCAUGACAUCCUCUUCCCAGAAAGAAGGUUCACAUCUAGUUUCCCAUUCUUGAGUCCUUCCAAUCGUAUUCUGAAUCACGAGGGGCCGUCUCCUUAUCUCCUUGAAGGCCCACUUUCAACUUCUUUGUCCGGUCAGCUAUCGGUUAUUGGAUCUCUUAUCCAAGAUGCUACUCUCAAGAUCUACCAGAAUGUUCCACACUGUCGGAUCCUCAUUUGUGCUCCCAGAAACCAGACUUGUGAUUCCCUUAUGAGAAACUUGCAGGCUGUGAUUCCAAGGUCGAAGCUGUUCCGAGCUAAUGCUGCCUUUCGGGAUUAUGAUCAUGUGCCAGAUGACAUUAUUUCAGCUUGCCUUUAUGAGGGGGAGUGCUUUACUUGCCCACCACUUAAUGAGCUCCAGGAUUUCAAGGUUGUAACCUCUACCUUCAUGAGCAGCUUCAGGCUUCAUAAUGCUGGGAUUAGUGCUGAACAUUUCACUCAUAUCUUUUUGGUGGAUGCUUCAUCGGCCACAGAGCCUGAAACAAUUGUGGCUCUUGCUGACCUUGUUAGCAAGAAGACAGUCAUCGUGGUGACUGGAUCGUCGACAGAUAUCCCUCGUUAUAUACGCUCAGAUAUUGCUCGAAUGCAUG
rnacentral:misc_RNA from 1 species